rnacentral:misc_RNA from 1 species
UCCCCGAUUUCCGGGGCAGUCUCGUUAGAGUUCCCGCCUUUACGCGUUGGCAACUAACGAUAAGGGUUGCGCUCGUUGCUGGACUUAACCAAACACCUCACGGCACGAGCUGACGACAGCCAUGCAGCACCUAUAUAGAGACCCUUUCGGGAAAGUUAAUCUCUUAACUCGUCCUCUACAUUUCGAGCCCAGGUAAGGUUCUUCGCGUUGCAUCGAAUUAAACCACAUGCUCCACUGCUUGUGCGGGCCCCCGUCAAUUCUUUUGAGUUUCACCCUUGCGAGCGUACUCCCCAGGUGGCAUACUUAACGCGUUAGCUCCGAUACAGAAAGGGUUGAGCCCUCCUACAUCUAGUAUGCAUCGUUUACGGCUAGGACUAC